GACCCCGCCAGUGUACGUGCUGACCUGUCUCCACGCACAGGGAGUGUUCCAGACUGUGCUCACCUGGGUCUCCAUCAGCUCUUCCCCGCUGCAGCCAGGCUCUGGGCACCUGGGAGAUCACCUGAGGGCUGGGAGGGCACCGUGCCUGUGGCUACAUUUGUGGCGGCGUGUGGGACAGCACAGUUACAGAGAGUAGGUGGAGGCCCUGGAGAGUUUGAGCAGGAGGACACUGCAUGACAUAUGCUGGGAAGGGUGCCCCAGGCUGCCACGCGGGGAGCUGCAGGGGUGUGCACAGAAGGGGGAGCUCACGGACCUCGUGCAGGAAGGAUCCAAAACAAGGCAUCAAGGCAUGAGAGAACUCCAAGGUGGAAUCGCCCUCUGCAGUUCUGUCCAGGACCAAGUAGCUUUCGGGGCCAGGCUGGCCGUUGGUGCUGUCCAGGGUGCUGAACGCCACCGGGACGCCAGGGUGGGGACAGUACCCCCAGCCCACAGGUGGACACGUGUGGGGAUCCAAUAGCAGAACUGACUACUGUUUUAGUGUUUCCUUCAUGCCCUAAAUCCAACCGGUAAGAGCUUGAAAAUACAGGAUGGAGAGAUUUUCUGACUAAAAUGAUGCUUCUGAGCUGAAGCCUGGGGAGAUAGUGCUUUAUCCUGAAUGUCCUCAGAGACAGUGCAGAUUCUGAGACACAGCACAUCACCAGAUUCACUCAGAAGUCUGCAGGCUGAAGAUCCGUGGCGGUGGGAACAAUGCUGAUGUGGUUAUCAACCCGCUCAGCAAAUGUUUAUCCACUCCUCCCGAUCAUAACACUGUGCUGGGCGGACAUUCAGGGGCUCGCAAAGAGACGUAAGGUGGGGUCUGAAUGUGGAGGGUUAGAGACAAUCGUGAGUCAACAUUAAGUAUAGAAUACUAAAGAUGAGGUGACACAUAUUACAAUGCUGUCACCAUCUAGCUGGUAAAUUUAGGAAGUAACCGGUUUUGUCAGGAACUGGAGUCCUGAGAGCUCGCUGCAGAGUCUGGGGUUGAGAAGUGUUAACAGGACACCUUCAUGUUACGCCUAGUUUCCUAUCACGAUCCCACGUCUCCAUGAAGGUUAACCUAAGACUUAUUGUUGUUACUGGAGCUUUGGAAGAGGGUCAUCCAUGAGCAGUAUUAGCCUCAAGGAAAGGAGAAAAAUGUGUUAGUACUUAGUCAUCAUGUCGGAUAGCAACCACGUUUCUCUGCAUGUGUGUGUCUCUCUCUCUCUCUCGGCCACAUGCAUGCAAUCUUCUGCUUCUUUCUAUGUGCAAAUGUUGAUAUUCUGUACCUCACACUGGCUCUCCCCCAUGGACCCCAGGCACUGACUUCUGUAGAGAUUCACACUUCCAACAUAAUGCACGAGCACAUAAUAGGUAAUGUCCUUCCCUCUUGGUUCGAGUCUAGAGGUCUCCAUCUGGUGCAGUGAUGUCAGCAGUCUGGCUCAGGCCAAUUACCACAGUGAGGAGAAGGCUCUGUUGAGAGGGUUGCAAUUAAGUAGUUGGGAGACGCCUCUUCCGUGGUGUCUGACUGUUCCGGGGACACUGGAUGAUAAACAGUGGCUGCACGAGUGAGACAUUACCAAGCACCUGCAUGUGCCCCUGACCCAGCGUUUUUACGAGUGAGAUCCCGUUUCGUUCUUAAAACAUCAUUGCGAAGUGCCUCAAUUUUACAAGUGAUUGAUAUUCAGAGAGAAAAAGUUGAUUUUCCAUGCUGAUUCGCCCGCUAGGUGGUGGGACUGAGAUUCUCAUCCAGCUCUUUCUUUUAGUGCCACCUGCCUCCUAUGCGGCCAGGGACAACAAGCACAGUUAUUAAACCUCUGCUUUUAACGGUCUUCCUAGGACACUUGCAAGUUGUUCUUUUCCAUAAUGGCAUUUCCAAAUUGCACGCACAGGUCUCCUUUGUGAUUUUUCAUCUGCUUUCUUGUGUACAUGGAUGGCUUGCUUGAAACCCUUUUACAUAUUUCCACGGGCUACAGAGGGAUAAACAGUGUCAACCACCUCUAUGAACAGCAUGUUUCUGUCACAAGGCGAACCAAAGUGUGUGACCCCUGACCUUUGGGAGGAAAGAUGAGCAAACACACACACGCACACUCACACACAAACACACAUACGAACACACACCCGUGCACACUCACAUAUACACAUUCAUACACAUAUGCACACACAUACACACAAACACCCAUGCACAGGUACACACACUCACACAAACACACAUGUGCAUGCUCACGCACAUACAAACACACAUGCACACACAGCACAAUACACACACACACACCCAUGCACACUCACACAUACACAUUCAUACACAUAUGCACGCACAUACACAAACCACCUGUGCACACACACACAAAUAUACACGUGCACACACACAAACACACAUGCACACACAAGCACAUAUACACAUAC